rnacentral:rRNA from 1 species
UACGGGGGGGGCAAGCGUUGUUCGGAAUUACUGGGCGUAAAGGGCUCGUAGGCGGCCAACUAAGUCAGACGUGAAAUCCCUCGGCUUAACCGGGGAACUGCGUCUGAUACUGGAUGGCUUGAGGUUGGGAGAGGGAUGCGGAAUUCCAGGUGUAGAGGUGAAAUUCGUAGAUAUCGGGAGGAACACCAGUGGCGAAGGCGGCGACCUGGGCCAAUACUGACGCUGAGGUGCGAAAGCGUGGGGAGCAAACAGG